ensembl:lncRNA
AUGACUUGGGCCCCUAGGGUGGCGACAAGUUUGCAGCGGAAAGUGCCAGCCCAGGAAGAAGCAACAACAAAUAUCCCCAGCAUGGCCAUAGUAAUAAUGGUGUCUUACACUGGCUGUCUCUCCUUCCAUGUGGAAAUAGCAGAGGGGGUCUCUAUGAAUAAUAAGUACCUUUCAGUACCGAUAAAGCUUCACCAGUAUUGGAUGGGUGUUGCACAGCUUUCAUCCUUGAAAAAUUACCAGGAAAAAGGGACAGCAGGGGUAGGUAGGCCAACACAGGCACAGCUGAGGACAGGUUUCUGGCCCCAAAUCUACUUUCAGGUCUGAAAUGUACUGAAAGUAAAGGCAGCAACUGAUUUCCACAAAGAAGGGCCAGUAGGGAAAGGUAGAAUUAGAGAAAGAAUUAAAAAACCCGGUAGCUUUGCAUACAAAGCAAUCUCUUAACAGGGUUUCUUAGGAGUCUAAGAGGCUGGGCCUUUCACUCCUUUUUUUAUUCUAUCUCAUUGUCUCCUUUUUGGUCAUAUCUGCAUGUCCUUUUGUUAUGCUGAUAGUCUUUCCAUACUGUUUCUGCCUACUCUCACCUUCCGCAAUUCCACCAGUGUCACAAGUCCUAGCAAGCAGAUAUAUUAAUCAAUUCAGCUACAAUAUAGAAACUUCUCACUGUUGAAUUUUUUGAAUUAAUUAAUUGAAUUAAUUAAAUAUCUGAUUUAAUUUUUCAUCUGUCAUGGUUUGACGCUGGCACAAUGCCAGCGCCCCAUGAAAAUACAACUUACCCAUCAAAUGCUGUGAAAUGUGAUCAAGAACAGAGCAAAGCAGGCCAAACUUAGUAACAAAGGAAAAACGUUAUUACACUACUACUACUACUACUAUAAAAGGAAAAGAAAGGAAAGAAAAAAAACACACAAAAUUCGAAAUGAAAACCUUCCAAAACAUUUCUCCUCCCUCCACCCUACUCCACCAAACCCCAGCGAGACCCAUUUGGAUCCUUAAUCAAGUUUUCACCCUUCAAGAUAAUCAAUACUGAAUCCAUCGGGGAAGAGAGGAGUCCCCCUUGCACCAUAGACCCCCAGGAAACACAGCUGCCACCUCUUGUGUUUCCAAUGUCACACGUGGCACCGCCCAGACACACCGGCCAGUGUGACAUUCUCCUCUCCAUGUCACAGUGCUCUCACCACCGUGCAUGGACAGAGACUGCUUAUAGGGCCCCUUUAAGGAUGCUUUGCCAAGGACCACCAGGAACAACAGUCCAGUAUCACAAUUCGGGACUAGAGUCCCCCCCAUUUUCCCCUGGGGCCGAGGGUCCAAAAGACAGAGAUCGCCUUCUCUUCUUCUCUGAAGAUGGAGGGCAUCCUCACACCCUCCUCAGCUCUCUCUCUGUCCACUCCAAAACUGGUAGUUGCUGAAGAAGGUCUCUUGGCUCACCAAUGCAUCCCCCUAAAAUGCAGUCCCUCUUGAAAGAAAGAGUGGUUCAGUCUAUGGUAAACAAGCAGAGUCCAGCCAAAAGCCAACCCAUCAUCUUCCCCCAACCUUCUUCUCUGAACAUCUGAGGUUUCAGGCUGUCUCUCUUUUCUUCAAAUUCAGGAGGAGUAAUAUUUCAUAAAGCUUUCAUUUCACAGGAAAGGGUUAAAAUUCCCGGACUCCCCGGACGGCUGCAAUCUCAGCCCAGGACUCUUUCUCUAGUCUCCCACGCUGGGCAUCUUCCCCCUCCCUUCUCUUUCUCCUCCGCCGGCAAACUCCUAGGUGUCUGCUGGCUCUCUAUCUCUUUUCCCUCUGGCUUAGGGGAGGGGGAACAAAAACAUCCCAGAUGUUCUCCACCCUUCCAUCCGCAGGAGCUGGCCCAGCUCGGUUCCGAUCCUUCACCCCCUGGCCUACCUCUGCAGGCCGCAUGGCUCCCCUCCCCCACCCAGCCCGAGCUGGGGGGGGAGGUCCGUACCAUGCGGUGACCAGAACCAAAGAAGGACGAGUCCUCCUGGGAAUUCCGCUUUUAACCCCUCUGUGUUCUCAGAGGCGUGUCCACCUUCAACUGGUCACCCCAAGUGUCAGUAUCUAAACAUGACCCCUGACUGGAUGGACCUCUUCCUUCCAAAAAAAAUUAUCUUCCCGUGUCAAACCAUGACAUCAUCUCCAGUAUAGAAACCUCUCCCUUUUCAAUUUUUUUGUCAGGAACAACAUAGCAAUGGAAUAAUGUAAUCAGGUGCUGAUGUGUAGAAUUUGACUGGAAACUGCUAUAAGCCUGCUGUGGGAAGAAACAGUUUUAUUUUACAGCCUGAAAUAGCAGACUGUAUUCCACUAAAUCACAGCAGUAAUGCAACAGGUUCAAAUAAGAAGCUGGAAGCUGCUUAGAUUCCAGAACAAACUGUCUUGGCAAGAGCCCUGAGAAUAAUGCCUGACUCACCUCAGCCAGGAAACGCAUACAAUAAAUAUCAAAGCAGGUAGGAUGCACUAAGUAACAGCAGCAGAACACACUCUUACGUUAUUGGUGCACUCAUAAUUUAAUUUCAGAUGAAUCAAAGCCUUGAGCCAAGGCUUGGGAUCAUGUAAUCCAGCGCUGCUAACACACACACUUUACAAACACCAGUGCCUAAGUGCUGAGCUCAGGGACAGUGCUGGACAGCUUUCUUAAAUAAACUCCAACAGGGACAACAGCUUACACAGAACAAUGGAUGAAGGAUAAAUCUGGAAUGAAGAAGAUGAGCUAAAGACAGCAGUGGGUAAAUUAAAUAUUAAUAUCACUGUGUGGAAUCAGAUGGCUAGAUUACAUCCAGAAUUUUCUUUGGGGAUUGCUGGACAGACACUGUUGUUUGUUUUCAAUUUUGACUGUACAGGAGUGGUUUUAUGGUGUUCCUUGUCCUGGAAAAAGGAAUAAUAAAGCACCACAGAAGAGAGUGGAUCCUGGGGAGCAAGCUCAGGUGUGGUCAGGAUGACCAGCAUGCAGCUGAGAGGAUGUGUGUUGUGGCAAGUCUGUUCAGCAACGCUGGCUGGGUGUAGCUGCCCAGUUGUGGCCAGAGUGUGGAGGUCUCUCAGCUAGCAUGCUCCCUGUGGCCAGGUGGCCCUAUGAGAGUGGCUGCCCCCAGAUCUCUUCUGAGACCUCGCUGCGUGGCAGUGCUCACAGGGAGUUGCAGCUCCCUACGGCAAGCUGUGGCAUGGGUAACACAGCUCCCAAACAGUAUAAAGAACCAAAGCAAAGAAACAGAGAGGGUCCACUUGCAUGAGUACCAUAACAGUUGAGUACCCAGCAGGGUUCAAGGAGGACAGGACUAAAAGUUGCAGCUUAUUUAAAAGAGGGGAGGGUAUGAGGGGUGGAAACAACUGUUAUCCAAUAAGGAAGCAUUAGGGGGACGAGAACACAGCUGCCGUAGUCCAAUUAAAGCAAUCAGGGGGAGGGAGCAGGUUUAACAGUCCAAUAGUAUGCUAGGGAUGCGGCAACAGACAGGGAACAUUCUGGAAUAAGCAGGCUGUGUUCAACUUGACAGGCAGGUAGGGGGCAGCGCAGUGGGGAUUGACAGGGUCAUAUAGGGAGGUACUGGGGAGACUGACAUAGACAUUGACAGGCACUUGGGUGGAAAAUAUUGGCGUAAACAACUCAAUGCUAAACCUUUAGGGGAACAGAAUGGGGUACAUGGAACAAAGCAUUAUAAACUGAUUAACAAAGAACAAUUAUAAAACAGCAAACCACCAUAGCUGGGGACUGCACCUAUCUCUUCACAGACUUCCACAACACUCUGCUGCUGCAGGCAUGUUUGCGGGACACCUGGUAUCUCAGGUGAGGCAGAGACUGAAAAAACCCUCUACGCUGCCACUGAGAAGAGGGACCCUCGUAAAAUGCUGCUUGAAACUCAGGCAGCCCCAGCACUGCCAUGACAUGAUACCACAAUAUAAGAAAAAUAUUAAGCUGGUAAAGAGUGUCCAAAGGAGGGCAACCAAGAUGGUGAAGGGCCUUGAGCCGAAACCAUAUAAGGAGUGGCUGAGGUCACUUGGUCUGUCCAACCUGGAGAAGAAUGA